UGGGGUCGUUGCUUCCUAUGCUUUCAUCUAAAUCAAUUGUUAAUAGUCCUUGGCUCCUGGGACUACUAGUUGAAUGUUGAUGGAAAUAGUAUGUAUUGAUUCCAACCUCCAAGGCCUAAAACAAAGCAGUUCUGAAAACAAGCAAUAUAUCAACACUGUCCUUCAUGGCGGCCUACUUCUAUUGGUACUAAUCUUUCUUUCUUUCUUUUUUUUCCUCUCUUUUUCAUAAAGUUCUAUGCGGAGGAAUUUGAAAUUAAAAACAAACCUUUCCCUUUAGAAAAUUAAAAGUAAAAAAAGGUAACACUGUAAUAGUUCUAUGUUGGAUAAUGGUGGGCCUGGACGCGAAGAUUUCGAGUUGCCAGGAAAGUGGAUUAAGUCCUGUCUCAAUGUCCACUGUUAGCCCUAUUUACCUUAUCCAAAGAAUUGGCGGACGACGAGGUUGGAAAAGUGCACACGCGUCCCUCAUGCUUCCAACCGUUAAAUAUUCCCUGAUCCGCAACCGCCAUCAGGAGCUGGAGCUUUCCAACUUCAGCUUCUUCGACAAUGAGAAUGUGACUGCUCUCCAGCCUCCACAGAAGGGGGACAAAAAAAAAAAAAAAAAAAGAAUACACUCGAGCUUUAGGUUUUCCAUACUGCUUCAUGAUCCAUGUUAUCUCUGCAAAAUUUCACCGGCGCCACUGCUUUAUCAUCCUCUACGCAUUCAUCGGCAGCUCGCUAUCUGUUCUCUUACCGUUUGGUGUUAAAGACGGAUUCUACACCCAGAAUUCCUCGAUGCUCUCUGAGAGUCCAGGAAUUGUCCAUGGAGGAGCCUCUAGAAUCGCAGCUUGAUAUGAGCGAGGUUUUUACAUUGAUGCAGAGUAAUAAGAACGAUCGAGUUCCAAGCGAAGGACCAGAGCAAUUACAAGAAGAAGAAGAACAGGAGGAAGAGGAUGAGAAGGGAAUUUCUAAAAUACGAGUGGCGAGGCAAAAAUACAUCCCAGUUUCCAAGGCAGAGAUCUUGGAUGCCAUUAUACUGAAGUUAUUUGAGUCUCAAGAUGAUGCCAAUGAAUUUCUCCUUCUCUCUUCGCGCUUGGAUUCUAUUCUUCACGCUGAGCACAAACGCAUUUUAGAAGAAAUGCGAACUGAUUAUUUCCUCAGUCAUUCCGUAAAAAAUGAGGAGACGAAUGAUAAUGGGUUGGCCAAUGCAGAUGGAAAAUCUGGAGUUAAUGGGGACAAUUCCGACUCUGUCAGCGAUAGCAUCAAUGGAAUUGGAAGCAUUGGGGACUCUGGGGAGGAGCCUGAAAUUGACAUGCAAUUAAAUUUCAAUUAUGGUCUGGACUUGAGGAAUCUUUUGGGUUCUUCAGCGAAAAUUGACGAGAGAUGUUCUAACGGGGAAUCCAGACUUGCUGUUGCCACUCGUUUCCAGCGUGCUUUCAUGCAGCUUCUUGAUAAUGCUCAGUUUCAAGAACUAUCGGCUCGGGAUUUGAUGUUGACAUGUGCCUUGAACUCGGAUUACCUUCUUACUUUGCCAAUAUAUGUGGACUGGAAGAAAGCAUCUGAAUCCAAUGCUAUAAUAUUCAGGAGAGGUUAUGCAACUGAGAGACAGAAAGGUCUGCUAAUUGUUGAAAAACUGGACUAUAUACAGUCCAUACUUCUGAAAAGACUAUUCUUCAUUGUAUCAAAACCACUGGAGAAAGUUGGCAAAUGGAUAAAAGAGGCUAUCACUAAUGCUUCUCAGACCCAAGAAGCACAAGAUUGGUUCAAGAGUGUGACCUUUUGGCUUGAGGAACUAUCACUUUUUAAGAAUUCAUAUUCUAAUGAUGGACAAGCCUCUGAUAAUCCUCUGGAAGUAGACCAAAUAUCGGAUAGUGAUGUUCCUAUUUGGCUUGCAGCGCAGAGGGCAGUAAGUCGUUAUGAAGGAUUUCUGUCUCCAGUUGGACCCAGAGGAAGGCUACUCAGGAAGUUGCUCACUUGGAUUGGCCUUGUACCUCCUAUACCAGCAACACCAUUUGAACUUGACAGUGACAAUAGUACUUCUGAGCCUCAUUUAAGGCCAAUUUUCUUAUCAAGGAUAUCACUUAGUGAUAUAUGGAGACCUGCUUCAAGAAAAUACUGUGGAAAUGAUCUUUGGCAAAUGUUAAAAACUUACUUUUCCAUUCUUCUAUCAUGGACAGUCCUUGAGGAACCUGCAUUCCAAGAAUUGAUUUUGCUCUAUACCAAGGAAGUGACCGAAAGUGACAUUAAGGAUAAAGCUGAAGUUCCAUCAUUGCAAUUAAAGAUCUAUGAGAGAAUUCCUAUCCCGGAACUACCACAAAUUAUUUUGCAGGUCAUUUUUCCUCACAAAAAGCUCUCUUUCCGAGUCAUAGAUACAGUAUGUACAAGUUACAUACCUAUUUGUUACAUCUUUGAAAUGUUAUGUAUAGAAGCAUUGUACGCCUGGAUGUGGCCACAAUAUUGGGACUUUCGGCAUACUUCAUCAAUUACAAAUUUGAAGACAUCUUAUCUUCCCCGUAUGAAUCUUCUAAGUGUUUAUACCAGAACUUUUGAAAUAUCAGCCCAUUUCACAAACUAUUGUGCAUAUAAAAGAUGGUAAUUAUAUCUAAAAUGUUGAGUCCAUGAUGCAAUUCAGAGGAAAGGAAUACAAGUUUUAUCAUUAUUUUCCAGUCCCUGAAGUCCUGUAUUAUAUCAGAAUUCUAAAAACCAAUCAUGUCUUUUUCCCCCUUUUGGAUUUGGACUAGUUCUUGAAAUCAUUUAAUGCUUUGAAGUUGCAUAGAGAAGCAUAUUGCUUUUUUCUCUGCGUUGCAGAUCAGCAAUAUUUCUUGAUGUCGUUGCCAUCACUGCACUGAUAAUUUAUGUGACCCGUGUGGCUUUGGGUUACAAACAGACGUGGGAUCGAUAUCAACUACUUGUUAACAGGACACUUUAUGAGAAAACACUGGCAAGUGGCUUUGGGUCUGUUCAUUUUCUUCUGGAUGCUUCUGAACAGCAGCAA